rnacentral:lncRNA from 1 species
UUAGGCUGGAGUGGUCGCGUAGUACAGGAUUAUACGUCUCAAGUAAGUACGAGUAAAAUUGUGGAAAUUUUUCCUUCGUACUUCGAGAGAGGGUGGACGCAUCCGGCGGACAGGAGGCGAUGCACUUGGACCAUUCUUGAACUCCGAGGACGAGGUAUUAUGAAGAUCUUCCAGCAGACGAUGGACUAACGUCUGAACAUGAUGUAUUUUACAGCCGAUAGAAGUCGAUGUCUGUUUGAAAACGCACAUUAGCAAGAAAAAAAAUUAUACAGGUGGACAAUGAGCGAACAGAAGAUCGAACUAUCCGUAGCAUAGGAAAUAAGAUACACUUUCUCCUUGUGCGAAACUUCACUCCUUCGACUGUGAAAAUAUGGAAUUUCAUAUAGGUGUGUUGGAUGAAAUAGAUUUUUUUAAUUAUUUAUUCAUACAGCGGGGCAUUGUGUUACCAUAUCCUCGAUUGUUUGGUAAUUAUAUGACGACCUUUGUUUCCGGUUUCUGCGAUAAAAUUCAUGCGGUAUCACUGUCGUGUAAUUUACAUUUUCAUUAGAAUUCAGAUGUCUGUUACGAACAAUCUGUUUCUCGAGACCGAAACACGUAUGGAUCGAUGUUAAACUAGCGUUGACUCUUUCAUUGAUCAAUUGACUCUUCUGAUAAACUUCAAUUGGUCAAGAAUUAUUCAGCGUUCGUUGGAAGCCGAAACUAAAUAUCACGUCGAAUCAGGUAAUUGGUUAAUUAUUCAACACUUGAAUUGCGAAGAAACUUCGAUUUCGUUGCGCAUGAUAGCGGUGCAGAAGAAUCGCUUGACGAAUCUGGCGAGUCGCUUCGAAUUCCUUAUCAAAUAAAUCACUUAUAUGCGCCAUACAUUUAUCUGCUUCUUUUUUUCUUUCUUUCAACCAGGGAGUGUCACUCACGUUGACAGCUGAUUCGAACGUUAAAAAAUUUAAUGUCAAAAAAUGAUCAACGAAACUUUGAGUAAUUGGUCUAAGGUCACAGCCUUGUCUUACAUUUGCAUAUUACGUACGUAUAUGUGUGUAACACAUAAUUUAUUGCACAGAAGUAUAUACUUGUAAACCAUAUACAUACACAUAAUACGUAUCUAAUGUACUUAUUCAUUGCGAUUCAAUUUGCACGUAAUUAUUAUUUCAUUUAUGGAUAUUAAUUUUUAUACACCCGGUACCGUGUGAAUUUUCGAAAUACUACUGCUGAGCCAAUAAAGUUGAUGGAACAAUGAGAAUUCUUUGCUUAUUU